UACGUAGGGUGCAAGCGUUGUCCGGAAUUAUUGGGCGUAAAGAGCUCGUAGGCGGUCUGUCGCGUCGGAUGUGAAAAUCCAGGGCUCAACCCUGGACCUGCAUUCGAUACGGGCAGACUAGAGUUCGGCAGGGGAGACUGGAAUUCCUGGUGUAGCGGUGGAAUGCGCAGAUAUCAGGAGGAACACCGAUGGCGAAGGCAGGUCUCUGGGCCACUACUGACGCUGAGAAGCGAAAGCAUGGGGAGCGAACAGG
rnacentral:rRNA from 1 species